AUUGAACGCUGGCGGCAUGCCUUACACAUGCAAGUCGAACGGUAACAGGCCGCAAGGUGCUGACGAGUGGCGAACGGGUGAGUAAUGCAUCGGAACGUGCCCAGUAGUGGGGGAUAGCCCGGCGAAAGCCGGAUUAAUACCGCAUACGACCUGAGGGUGAAAGGGGGGGAUCGCAAGACCUCUCGCUAUUGGAGCGGCCGAUGUCAGAUUAGCUAGUUGGUGGGGUAAAGGCCUACCAAGGCAACGAUCUGUAGUUGGUCUGAGAGGACGACCAGCCACACUGGGACUGAGACGCGGCCCAGACUCCUACGGGAGGCAGCAGUGGGGAAUUUUGGACAAUGGGCGCAAGCCUGAUCCAGCAAUGCCGCGUGCAGGAAGAAGGCCUUCGGGUUGUAAACUGCUUUUGUCAGGGAAGAAAGCUUCUGGGUUAAUACCUCGGGAGGAUGACGGUACCUGAAGAAUAAGCACCGGCUAACUACGUGCCAGCCGCCGCAGUAACAC
rnacentral:rRNA from 1 species